rnacentral:tRNA from 1 species
AUAUAAGUAGCAUAACUAUUCAAUGCAUUUAGUUUCGACCUAAAUUAAGUAAUCAAUUUUACCUUAU